ensembl:lncRNA
CUCAGGAAGCACGCAUGUGUUGCUGCAGCUGUUGUUUAGCGCCGUGUUGCAGUACGUGCUUAAAAAAACUAUGCAGCCACAGACUUUCUAACUCUUACCAACCACCGAUGUGUUCGUUUUCUGCUUCAGCUGUAGACUGAGAAGAUGUGGCAGUGAAGAUGAUGCCUUCAGAUAAUAUCUUGUUUUCUCUACAAGAAAGCUGUCUAGGAAUCUAGCCAGGUGCCUGAGCAAGGACCAGGAUUUUUGACAUAAUCUAGCAGUUUCUAAUGACUUUGGGCUUUAAAUGUCAAUAUGGAUGGCAUUGAGGAGAGCUACAUCUGGGAGCGCCGCAUUGCCCAUGGCAUUAGGUAUCAAAAAGGAGCAGUCCCCUUCCCAGAAUUGGUUGAUAUUGGUCUGGAGUUCAAUGCGGCACUUGAAAGGAAGGAGAAGUUGGAUCAGAGCCUGCUGACGAAUAGUGUUAUGCUGGAAAUUUGUCAGUUUGCCAAAACAGUGAACAGGUCUGAGAAGUAUUUCCUGUUCGAAAUGCUGGAGUUCAACUUCGACCUUGGCUUUGACAUAAACAAUGACAGUCUGUGCUACAUCUAUGCAGUUCGUGUCCACAACAAAAUUAAACACCUGAAGGAGCAAAUAAAGAUGAAGCCAAAUAGAUGGAAAGAAACAUUUCAGUUGCCAAAUCCAAGUGUUUUAGCCGGGUCCAAAGAAGACGUGUCAGGACGAUACUGUCCUAAAUGGAACAAAAUUGCUGAUAGUUCAGUGCUCACUGUCUCCAGCAAGAACUGUCAGUCUUCAGACAACCACGAAGCUGAAACUACCAGAGAUGCUAGCAAUAAAUACACUGUAAAAAAACAAGGAGGAAUCCGUUUAAGAAAAACACUGGGCGCUAACCCUUUCUGUGCACAACUUGGUGUGACCCUAGCUAUUCGACCAAGUCACGCCCCCAAACAGAAACUGGACCCAAGUCUGCUCACCAACGGUGUGAUGAUAGAGAUGCUUGAUUUUUCCCGAGUGCUGUGUGGAAAACACACUUACCUAGUUUAUGAACUGGUCAAGCACAACUUUGGUUAUGCUUUUGAUAAACCUCAGUUCCGAAUGUGUCUAAACAGGGUGAUAGAGAGAAAAUACACCUGUCUGACAGCUGAGGACAAAGACACUUUCAGAAAGGAACUUUUUAAGAUCCCGGCUGAGAAGAAUAAAUUGGAAUAUAAAGGUAAAAAACGAAAAACACCUGAUGCAGAUAACCAAGAACUGGAAGCACAAAUGCUGGCCACCAAUAAAAGACAAACACGGAAGCAGCAGGCUAGCAAAAUGGAGGAGAUGAGGGAGGAUGAUUUGUCAUACAUGUGUCCUGUUGAGUUUGAGACUGAAUUGCAGUCAGAAACAGAAGCUGAGCCAGAAAAUGUGGAACCUGAAAGUUGUUUGUCAGGAAAAGAGGUAGAAAUGAAUGUGCUGCAGGAUGUAAAGCCAGAAGAGGAAGAAGUCUUCAUCUCACCGAUGCAGCCUCUGAGUUAUGGCCACAAAUCUUCUUUGUCACCCACACAGACAAAGGAUGCAAGUCAAGAAUCGUACUGGUGUCUGUUCUCUGAGGGAAGAUGUGCAGAAACCCCAAAGCAGAGGCUGUGGCUGAGGCGCGCCGCUCGCACACAACAGAUCCUGAUGUCAAGCCGAGUCAAUGAUAUGUUCGCCCACUGCAGAGAGAUCGGAUUAGACUUCAACUUUUGCUCACCAAAACGGAGCUUAGAUCUACAACUGUUGACCAACUGGGUAAUGUGGGAGGUUUUCAAGUUAGGAACUGCUUUGUCGAGGAGUGUACGCAGUUUUUUAUUUGAAAUUCUCUUAAACAACUUUACUCUUACGCUCCAAGAUGAGCAACAUGAGCGCAAUUUCUUAGUUUACAUGAUGGCAAAACAUAAAAAUCUUGUGAACCACCCGAAGAGUCAGAAUAUGGAUUUUCUCUGCAAGCCUUUCAAACUCCCUGAGAUAUACCACAUGGUUGAUGUGACCAGCAGUUUUCAGACUCAACAGGAACUCCAGAGUCAAGGGCAGAAAGGGUUAGAUUCAUCAGAUUCAGCAAAGAGGGAAGAAGCUGAAAAAGAAGAACACCCUUUUUGUAAAAAGUUGGGUCUAAAUCUUUGGUCAACCGUAGAACGCCCGUCAGACCAGAAGCUUGAUUUGACCAUCCUGACAACAGGCGCUGUGCUUGAGAUCUUCAGCUUUGUAAAGGAGCUGUGUGGUGAGGCCCGCAAUACUGUUAAUGACAUCCUUGAGCACAAUUUUGAUCUUCAUCUGCAAAGUGGUGAGACUGAGGCCGCGCAGAAGAUCCAGAGAUGGUACACAACACAGAAAAGCUUGAUGAAAAAGCAAAACAUGUCACCGAAAAUCAACAGGUGGUUAAAUAUGAUUGUCCCGCUGAAUGGCAACUUGCAAGAGAUUCCACACUCACCAACCGAAGAUGGGGACCCAGAUCUAGAAGGGGAAUUGGAUGGCUUUGGUGGAUUUGUCAAACGCUUUGACUACCAGAACUGCAAGGAGAUCGGACUGGACCUCGACCUCAGCUCCAAAUCAGAAACCAAAACGAAACUUGAUUUGAAGGUUCUGACAAGAGGAGUUUUGUUUGAGUUGCACCAAUAUGUGCAACAAAAUUACAACCGAUACGUUCCUGCUCUGUAUGAGAUUCUGGAGUACAACUUCGACCUGAGCUCUCAGAGCCACCGGAAGGUCGAGUUCGCCUGGUCCAUCGCCUCACAGGUCCUAGCCAUGACUGGCAAAAAAUGCAGAAAAGGGGAUUACCUGACCAAAGUUUUUGAGCUCCCUUUCGAGGCCCCCAAGUUCCCUGAGUCUUCCCAGGUGGUCUUUAAAGAGGAGCCGAAGGAUGACUUUGGCGAGCCGGACCUUAAUAAUGACAAUGAUGACCUUGUGUUUGUCCGAAAACUGAAGCCUGUUGAUAUGGAAGUCGAGAUAGAAUAAAGUUCUAGCUGCUGUUUGUAUUUCAAAUGUCAGUUUUCAGGAUAGAGUUGCGACUGAACUGCUUUAUAUCUACCAGGUUAAAUCAGUUAAAUUCACCUUUACCCAUUCAUAUAGAAAUGGGGAUCCUCUUUCUGUUUCUGUUCAGCAUGUGCCUAAAAUCCAACUUGACCUUAACCCUGGUGGGCAUAAAGAGGAUGAGACUGCUUGAUCGAGUUUUGUUUUGGUCUAUAAAGUGGCAAAAAACAGCUCUCGCAAUCACAUUUUUCUUUUUUUAACUGUUGACAUCUUGGGAUUACUUGUAGCAAAUAUCUUUUAACUUGAAGAAGAAAUACUUGCAUUUAAAAAACUGAAACUUGAUCAUGUUUGAAUUCAGUCAGGAAGGCCAAAUACAUUUUUAGGAUGUGCUGCAGGUGUUUACAGGGGCAGGAAAAAUAAAGAUUCUCUAACUUGAUUUCUUGAAAUCAGAGUUUAAUGUUAGUGCCCAGCAGAUCCAGCUGUGUCUCAGGAUGUGGGGUCUUUGCAGUCUUAGACGAUAAAGGUUCUAAAAUGUGAACGACGUGUUACUGCUGGGCCUCCUCGACUGGUUCAGUGCUGCUUUAGAGUAGAGUAGAGUUCUUUUGCUGUAGAGUUCUUUUGCUUACCAUUAGGUGCGUUACGACUGGAGUGUAACAGAAAAAAGCGGUGCCACUUUUUUUUUCUCCAAACGAGGAAGUAGACUAUCCACGUUAAUGUAAACCGGUCGAAAUUCAACCAUCAGUGACGUGAGUUAAAGAGGACAGAAUGAAUGGUCACGGCUGGCAUUGGUAUUUAAUUGUUUUGACUGAUUCGUGAUGUCACCUCCGUCAUUUAAUAAAAUGUGAAAGAAAACAUUCCACCUUAAAAUUUGGUCAGUGUUCAUUAUUAUUUGUCUCUUGACUUUAUUUCAGUAGUAAAGAUCAAAAGUCGGUGAAAUAUCCUGUUAUUGUAAAAGUUUACAUAAAGCCGCGCUCACUGCUGUGGUUUAAUGUUCACGUCGCUCAUUUUCUUGAUUUACAUGAAAAAAAGAAAAUGAGUUUUGAGCUUUCGAGUCAUGACCAGAUGUUUUGGCAGGGGGUACAGAUGUUCCAGUUCAUAUUUUGUUUAUUUUAUAUGUGAAGGAAAAUCAGAAGUCAUCAUUUUUAACUUUUAUUGGCAAACCAAAUUUAUU